ACAACGGCUGCUUAUCAAGUUUUCCUCUUCCAGAUGUGCGCGUUCCUAAUGACGUUUGAUAACUCCGACACGGCUCACAAAGCGGCGUGCGCUAGUCUGUUAAUAAAGGAGCAUGAAGUAAACAGACUUUGAACCCCUUGCAGAGGACGAUAGGAAUUGAUCUGGAGUUUUUGGUACUGUGCGACUCGACUUCAAAUAAGCAAAAAACAAAAUAAUUAAAAAUGAGGCAUCUAGGUUGUAUUGGGUGGUUAUGACGCAUCACCAGUUACGUACGAUCGUCUGUUAACUUUUGUCAGAACAUUCCAAUCCUUGAUUUGAUUAGGUAUUACGAUUUAAUAUUUUGACUCUUCACUUUUUUACGAAUACGUCGUUCGCUGUUCUUACUGAGUGGACGGAGUACACUGGAUAUGAUCGUUACACGAGAAACACCAUGUGGGCUAAAAGGGAUAGAAUGGCUUCUAUCAAAAUUUACAACUCAAAAUCGAUGCAAUCGACUUGCUUGGUACAAGGGCGGCAUACUGGCACUAACUUACAUGAGUUAUACUUGUUAUCACAUGUCAAGGAAGCCAAUGUCUGUUGUGAAAAACGUGCUCAGUAGAAAUUGUAGUGGUUUAGUACCGCCGCCUGAUAUAAAUCCAAAUGAUACUAAUAAUCAGAACUGGUGUGAAUGGCCUCCAUUUGAUAGGGACAAUGCUUCUGCACUAUUGGGUACCUUGGAUUCAGCAUUCCUAUUUGCUUAUGCUGGGGCAAUGUUUCUUAGCGGGUUUGUUGCGGAGCGUGUCAAUCUUCGCUAUUACUUGGCUCUUGGAAUGAUAUUCUCGGGUAUUUGCUGUUAUCUAUUUGGUAUUGCAAGGCCCUAUGAAAUUCAUACUCUUUGGUACUUCAUUUUAGUCCAGAUACUUGGUGGUAUAUUCCAAACAUCUGGCUGGCCAGGUGUAGUUACAGUAGUCAGUAACUGGUUCGGCAAAGGCAAACGUGGUCUGAUCUUUGGAAUUUGGAACUCCCACACGUCCUUAGGAAAUAUUUUGGGCAGUUUAAUUGCUGCUGAAUUUGUUGAAACAGACUGGGGCCUCAGCUUUAUGGUACCUGGAGCUAUUAUGGGCGUAGGCGGCUUCUUAUUGUUUCUCUUCCUAGCACCAAAUCCUGUGGAUGUUGGAUGCUUACCGCCUGAACCUCCAGGUUACAGAAAGGUAGAUGUAACAAAUAGCUCUGACGAAAGCAGUGCCAUUGAAGAUCCAGAGGCAAAUCAUUCGGCAAAUAACCAAGCAAUCAACCACAACGUGUCACGUCUUCAAUAUGUUGAUGGCGAGGUGAUUCUUCGUACCGAGACAAGUCCUAUGUUAGUGGUAAAUCGAAGAACUAGCAAUUCUGGGGAAGAUAAGCCUAUUGGAUUCAUUGGAGCUAUUCGGAUACCUGGAGUACUUGAAUUUUCUCUAUGCCUUUUCUUUGCAAAGCUAGUAAGCUAUACAUUCCUAUACUGGCUGCCUCUGUAUAUAGCUUCAUCAGCCAACUUUAGUGCAAAAAUAAGUGCAGAUUUGUCCACUUUGUUUGAUAUUGGAGGAAUAAUUGGAGCAGUGACAGCUGGUUCACUUUCCGAUUACACUGGAAUGAGUGCUGUUACCUGUGCGGGUAUGUUGUCGCUCGCUGUCCCUAUGCUGUUUCUUUAUGAUUCCUUUGGAAGUAUUAAUAUCGGAAUUACCAUUGCGCUGCUCAUUCUGGCAGGAAUAUUAGUUAAUGGUCCUUACGCGCUAAUUACCACAGCUGUAUCAGCUGAACUCGGCACGCAUCCAAGUUUAGGGAGUAACUCAAAAGCCCUGGCAACUGUAACUGCAAUUAUUGAUGGAACCGGAAGUAUUGGAGCUGCUGUCGGCCCAUUGUUAGCAGGUCUAGUUUCUAAUUGGGCAGGAUGGCACAAUGUAUUUUACAUGUUAAUGAUCUCCGAUGUAAUAGCACUUUUGCUGCUCUCACGGCUGGUCUAUAGAGAAUUACAUUUAUGGAAGCAACGGCGGCGGGCUGUCUGAAUUCUGAGGUCCUGUGGAUAUAAAUUUCUACCGCGAUACACACACAAAAUGUGUCAAAUGAGCAAGAGAGACAAAAAUAUCCAACAUUAAAGUUAUACAGAUGAUAAGUGAAUUGUCACAAUUAUAUUACAGAUCUAUGGAAAAAGGCAAUGACUUUGUUUUACACAUUGAGCAAUGGAGCACUUUCAAGUGUUACUUGGAGAUGCAUGAAUUUUUCGUGACCUAUUUCUGACGUGUCAAUAUCUACGUUUUUAACAAAUGGAGAAUUUUAUAUAAUAAAAAAUUAACAUGAAAAAAAUGCUUAUGACAGUAUUGUUUUGCCUAAAUUUAUUUUCAAUCUUAUGGAAUUCCAGUAGGAAUAAUCCAACUAAUGCUGUCGCCGAAUUCUCCCCAGGUGGCA
rnacentral:misc_RNA from 1 species